CAGCCGCCGCGGGAACACGAAGGGUGCAAGCGUUACUCGGAAUUACUGGGCGUAAAGCGUGCGUAGGUGGUGGUUUAAGUCCGUUGUGAAAUCCCCGGGCUCAACCUGGGAAUGGCAAUGGAAACUGGACGGCUAGAGUGUGUCAGAGGAUGGUGGAAUUCCCGGUGUAGCGGUGAAAUGCGUAGAGAUCUGGAGGAAUACCGGUGGCGAAGGCGGCCCCCUGGACAAGGACUGACGCUCAGGUGCGAAAGCGUGGGGAGCAAACAGGAUUAGAUACCCGAGUAGUCCCUGUCUCUUAUAC
rnacentral:rRNA from 1 species